rnacentral:other from 1 species
GGAAAGCUGUGAUGUUCGAUUUGUUCAUUUAGUGUGUUGACCGAACAUUUUUAUUUAGACAUUGGGAAUGCUCAUGUACGGAAGUAGGAGCUACGUCAUUACACGUGACAAGCCAGAAACGAAAGUCGUGAUUCCCACCUGCAUAUUUAGCGGGUUCAAACCUUGGAACGUUCACCGGCAUUAACGGCAAGUAC